AGUGAAUGCUGGCGGUAGGCCUAACACAUGCAAGUCGAACGGCAGCACAGUAAGAGCUUGCUCUUACGGGUGGCGAGUGGCGGACGGGUGAGGAAUACAUCGGAAUCUACUUUUUCGUGGGGGAUAACGUAGGGAAACUUACGCUAAUACCGCAUACGACCUACGGGUGAAAGCAGGGGAUCUUCGGACCUUGCGCGAUUGAAUGAGCCGAUGUCGGAUUAGCUAGUUGGCGGGGUAAAGGCCCACCAAGGCGACGAUCCGUAGCUGGUCUGAGAGGAUGAUCAGCCACACUGGAACUGAGACACGGUCCAGACUCCUACGGGAGGCAGCAGUGGGGAAUAUUGGACAAUGGGCGCAAGCCUGAUCCAGCCAUACCGCGUGGGUGAAGAAGGCCUUCGGGUUGCAAAGCCCUUUUGUUGGGAAAGAAAAGCAGCAGGUUAAUACCCCGCUGUUCUGACGGUACCCAAAGAAUAAGCACCGGCUAACUUCGUG
rnacentral:rRNA from 1 species